UUUAGCCACCGAGGGUAGGAGACGACACUGAACUGUGUGUCUGCACAGACUCGGGAGCUUUACCUGAGAAAGGUGCUUUCAAAACACAAGUGUUAAUGGAUCAUAGACAUGGGCACCAUUUUGAGAACUUUAGACUACACUGAAAUAGUUUUUUUUCUGUGGGACAACUAUUAGACUACAGUUCAGAAUCACCUGUAUAUAGUCAACCCUUGAACGACACAGAUUUGAAUUGUGCAGGUCCACUUAAACGUGGGAUUUUUUUCAGUGACAGUUACACUGAGGGUGCCUACCUCUCCUGCCAUCCUUUCCACCUCCUCCAUGGGAAGCAGCAAGACCCUUCCUCCUCAGACUACUCAAGGUAAAGAAAAGAAAGGUCACAGGACUCCUCCAGAGUGGUCUCCAGGCUGAGGUCCCACUCGACCGGAGAACAAGCCACAGGUGUGCUCUCCCGGUUCCAGAAGGCAACUUUACAAAGGGAACACACAAGUUACUGUCAAGUCAGGCAACCACCUUACUAAUGCAGAAUACAGUGCUCUCAAACCCCAAAGACGAGUAAAAGGCGUAAGAAGCCCUGAUGCUAAGAACGAACAGCCAGAAGGAGAGCUAGAAAUACUGACUCAGACUGGAGAGUUUUACUUAGAAAUAACUUACUGUACUUAACCCAAUCGUAAGAUUUCUGUGUACUGAAUACUGUAUAUGAGGAAAUUCUGUGGGUUAUAAGGUUUGCCAGG